rnacentral:rRNA from 1 species
AAUAGAUACCCUGGUAGUCCACGCCGUAAACGUUGGAUACUAGGUGUGGCGGUUAUACCAAUGACUGCCGUGCCGAAGCUAACGCAUUAAGUAUCCCGCCUGGGGAGUACGGCCGCAAGGCUAAAACUCAAAGGAAUUGACGGGUCCCCGCACAAGCGGCGGAGCAUGCGGCUUAAUUCGAUGCAACCCGAAGAACCUUACCUGGGUUUGACAUCACGGGAAAAGCUGUAGAAAUACAGUGUCCAUUAGGGCCCGUGACAGGUGGUGCAUGGCUGUCGUCAGCUCGUGUCGUGAGAUGUUGGGUUAAGUCCCGCAACGAGCGCAACCCUUGUCCUAUGUUGCCAGCGGUUUCGGCCGGGGACUCAUAGGAGACUGCCGGGGAUAACUCGGAGGAAGGUGAGGACGACGUCAAGUCAUCAUGCCCCUUAUAUCCAGGGCUGCACGCAUGCUACAAUGGCCGGUACAACGGGCAGCGACCCCGCGAGGGUGAGCGAAUCCUAAAAAGCCGGUCCUAGUUCGGAUUGAAGUCUGCAACUCGACUU